GAUGAACGCUGGCGGCGUGCCUAAUACAUGCAAGUCGAGCGAACAGACGAGGAGCUUGCUCCUCUGACGUUAGCGGCGGACGGGUGAGUAACACGUGGAUAACCUACCUAUAAGACUGGGAUAACUUCGGGAAACCGGAGCUAAUACCGGAUAAUAUAUUGAACCGCAUGGUUCAAUAGUGAAAGACGGUUUUGCUGUCACUUAUAGAUGGAUCCGCGCCGCAUUAGCUAGUUGGUAAGGUAACGGCUUACCAAGGCAACGAUGCGUAGCCGACCUGAGAGAGUGAUCGGCCACACUGGAACUGAGACACGGUCCAUACUACUACGGGAGGCAGCAGUAGGGAAUCUUCCGCAAUGGGCGAAAGCCUGACGGAGCAACGCCGCGUGAGUGAUGAAGGUCUUCGGAUCGUAAAACUCUGUUAUGAGGGAAGAACAAAUGUGUAAGUAACUAUGCACGUCUUGACGGUACCUAAUCAGAAAGCCACGGCUAACUACGUG
rnacentral:rRNA from 1 species